AAAUCUGGCAUGUUUAACUACAGAGACAUCAGGAUGUGUUAGAGCUUCUUAAAACAAUAUAACUAAAUGAGCCUAAGCGAUUGUUUCUUUUACUUACCAAAAAAAUCUGAAUUUUAUUUUAUUAUUGCUUAAAUAGCAAUAUUUGGCAGUGGGUGAAAACGUACCUUUCAUAUCAGCUGAACCGCUUCCUGAAGAGCAUUGAAUUUUCUAUACCAGAUUCUACUUCAGUGGCCAGGACCUUUAUGGCCACUGAUUCUUUUGCUCUGGGUUCUGAAAAAACAUCGUGGAUCCAUCCCUAAAGUAGAAAUGUUCUUUUCCAUCCCGCAAGCAAGGCUAAAGAUUGGAGGAGAAUGAAUGUGAAUCUAAUUCAGGAUUGCGGUCGUGCCAUUAAAAGUUUUCAGCUUCAGAACAAAAUGAUUUGGGAAAUAUGAUCAGUUUUCUUACUCUAUCAACAAUGUUUAAAAGUUGUAGGUGGUUCAAGUGACUUGACUCAAAUAACGACAAUCUUUGCAUGUCAAUAAUGGCUACAGUUUAAGGAGUGAAAGAUAGUUUUGAGUUUGGAAAAGAAGAAACUGUUAAUAUCAGCCUGUAAUGGGAUUAAAUGUUGAAUAUGGGGAAGAGGCAAAAAGCAAAUAGAUGCCCGAAAGUUAUCCUUGCACUGAGGAUGGGUUUAAAGUGCUGUAUAUCCUAGGGCCCACCUUACUGUAGAGGUAUAAUGGGGAAAUAUUUCAAUUAGAAACCCAUUAACAAGCAUUUAAUCCUUCUUUAAGGCAUUAGAGGAAAUAGAAUAAAACAUUUACUGUACAAAUCUGCUGCA
ensembl:lncRNA